UACGGGGGGAGCAAGCGUUGUUCGGAUUUACUGGGCGUAAAGGGCGCGUAGGCGGCCUCUGCAAGUCGACUGUGAAAUCUCCGGGCUUAACCCGGAACGGUCAGCCGAUACUGCAGGGCUAGAGUGCAGAAGGGGCAACUGGAAUUCUCGGUGUAGCGGUGAAAUGCGUAGAUAUCGAGAGGAACACCUGCGGCGAAGGCGGGUUGCUGGGCUGACACUGACGCUGAGGCGCGAAAGCUGGGGGAGCGAACGGG
rnacentral:rRNA from 1 species